UGGGGAAUAUUGCACAAUGGGGGAAACCCUGAUGCAGCGACGCCGCGUGAGCGAUGAAGGCUUUCGAGUCGUAAAGCUCUGUCCUAUGGGAAGAUAAUGACGGUACCAUAGAAGAAAGCCACGGCUAACUACGUGCCAGCAGCCGCGGUAAUACGUAGGUGGCAAGCGUUGUCCGGAAUUAUUGGGCGUAAAGCGCGCGCAGGUGGUUUAGAAAGUCUGAUGUGAAAGCCCACGGCUCAACCGUGGAGGGUCAUUGGAAACUAAUAAACUUGAGUGCAGGAGAGAAAAGUGGAAUUCCUAGUGUAGCGGUGAAAUGCGUAGAGAUUAGGAGGAACACCGGUGGCGAAAGCGGCUUUUUGGCCUGCAACUGACACUGAGGCGCGAAAGCGUGGGGAGCAAACAGG
rnacentral:rRNA from 1 species